ACUUGUACCGACUGGAUGAGCAGCGAACGGGUGAGUAACGCGUGGGGAAUCUGCCUUUGAGCGGGGGACAACAUUUGGAAACGAAUGCUAAUACCGCAUAAAAACUUUAAACACAAGUUUUAAGUUUGAAAGAUGCAAUUGCAUCACUCAAAGAUGAUCCCGCGUUGUAUUAGCUAGUUGGUGAGGUAAAGGCUCACCAAGGCGAUGAUACAUAGCCGACCUGAGAGGGUGAUCGGCCACAUUGGGACUGAGACACGGCCCAAACUCCUACGGGAGGCAGCAGUAGGGAAUCUUCGGCAAUGGACGAAAGUCUGACCGAGCAACGCCGCGUGAGUGAAGAAGGUUUUCGGAUCGUAAAACUCUGUUGGUAGAGAAGAACGUUGGUGAGAGUGGAAAGCUCAUCAAGUGACGGUAACUACCCAGAAAGGGACGGCUAACUACGUGCCAGCAGCCGCGGUAAUACGUAGGUCCCGAGCGUUGUCCGGAUUUAUUGGGCGUAAAGCGAGCGCAGGUGGUUUAUUAAGUCUGGUGUAAAAGGCAGUGGCUCAACCAUUGUAUGCAUUGGAAACUGGUAGACUUGAGUGCAGGAGAGGAGAGUGGAAAUCCAUUUGUUAACGGGG
rnacentral:rRNA from 1 species